rnacentral:rRNA from 1 species
GAUCCUGGCUCAGGAUGAACGCUAGCGGCGGGCUUAACACAUGCAAGUCGAGGGGCAGCAUAAUGGAUAGCAAUAUCUAUGGUGGCGACCGGCGCACGGGUGCGUAACGCGUAUGCAACCUACCUUUAACAGGGGGAUAACACUGAGAAAUUGGUACUAAUACCCCAUAAUAUCAUAGAAGGCAUCUUUUAUGGUUGAAAAUUCCGAUGGCUAGAGAUGGGCAUGCGUUGUAUUAG